rnacentral:rRNA from 1 species
GAUGCGACCUCAGCUCAGGCGGGGCCACCCGCUGAGUUUAAGCAUAUCAAUAAGCGAGGAAAA